rnacentral:tRNA from 1 species
GCCGAUGUGGUGAAAUUGGUAAACACGCACGUUUCAGAGGCGUGUGCCGCAAGGCCUGUGGGUUCGAGUCCCACCAUCGGCA